rnacentral:rRNA from 1 species
UACGUAGGGUGCAAGCGUUGUCCGGAAUUAUUGGGCGUAAAGAGCUCGUAGGCGGCUUGUCGCGUCGGCUGUGAAAACCUGGGGCUCAACUCCGGGCUUGCAGCCGAUACGGGCAAGCUAGAGUUCGGUAGGGGAGACUGGAAUUCCUGGUGUAGCGGUGAAAUGCGCAGAUAUCAGGAAGAACACCUAUGGCGAAGGCAGCUCUCUGGGACGGUACUGACGCUGAGACGCGAAAGCGUGGGGGAGCGAACAGG